GGGGGCGUUUUUGGAUUCGACGGGGACAGAUCGAGCGUCGACAGCGAGCCGUGGGGUUGCGUCCUUCGUUAAAAACGCAAAAGCCAAAUGUAAUUGGCAAACAAGAAAACUACGCUCUGGCUGCUUAAUUAAUCAGUCAGGAUCCGAUGUUCCAUUGCCUGUGUGGCACACUCGGGUCUCAAAUUUCAGCAGGCUGGCUUACCGGACCGUCAUCGACCGGUAAGUGAGAUAAAGAUGACUGGCUGAAGGGAAGGCCUGUCACUGGGCAAUCCCGACAGUGAGAACUUUCGUACAGUGACUGCGCUCGGAGAACUCGGCGUGGCGAUGUCUUCGGACAGCGGUUCGACUCCGCUCGCCUCCACCA
rnacentral:tmRNA from 1 species